rnacentral:tRNA from 1 species
UAGGGUGUAGCAUAAUUAAUGUAUUUCACUUACACUGAAAUGAUACUUUUUUAAUAAGUCGCCUUAA